CCGAACGAUUAAACUUUCCUUCGGGGAAGAUAUAAAGUGGCGCACGGGUGAGUAACACGUAGGUAAUCUACCUUUGAGUGGGGAAUAACAAUCGGAAACGAUUGCUAAUACCGCAUAAUGCAGCGGCAUCUUAUGAUGACAGUUGUUAAAGGAGCAAUCCGCUUAAAGAGGAGCCUGCGGCAGAUUAGCUUGUUGGUAAGGUAAUGGCUUACCAAGGCUACGAUCUGUAACCGACCUGAGAGGGUGGUCGGUCACACUGACACUGAAUAACGGGUCAGACUCCUACGGGAGGCAGCAGUCGGGAAUUUUGGGCAAUGGGCGAAAGCCUGACCCAGCAACGCCGCGUGAAGGAUGAAGUCUUUCGGGAUGUAAACUUCGUAAGAAUGGGAAGAAUAAAUGACGGUACCAUUUGUAAGGUCCGGCUAACUACGUGCCAGCAGCCGCGGUAAUACGUAGGGACCAAGCGUUGUUCGGAUUUACUGGGCGUAAAGGGCGCGUAGGCGGCAAUUCAAGUCAGCUGUGAAAUCUCCGAGCUUAACUCGGAACGGUCAGCUGAUACUGUUUUGCCAGAGUGCAGAAAGGGCAACCGGAAUUCUUGGUGCAGCGGUGAAAUGCGUAGAUAUCAAGAGGAACACCUGAGGCGAAGGCGGGUUGCUAGGCUGACACUGACGCUGAGACACGAAAGCGUGGGGAGCAACCAGAUUAAAUACCCUGGUAGUCCACGCCGUAAACGAUGGGUGCUAGGUGGCCCGGGCUUUGAUUCUGGCGGGGCCGACUUAAGCAUUAAACCCCCCGCCGGGGAAGAAAGGCGGAAAGGGUAAAACCAAAGGAAUUGGGGGGGGGCCCCCAAAAGCGGGGGAAAAGGGGGGUCAAUUCACCGCACCCGGAAAAACCUUUACUGGG
rnacentral:rRNA from 1 species